rnacentral:rRNA from 1 species
GAUGAACGCUGGCGGCGUGCCUAAUACAUGCAAGUCGAGCGAAUUGACAGAGGUGCUUGCACCUCUCGAUUUUAGCGGCGGACGGGUGAGUAACACGUGGGUAACCUACCUAUAAGACUGGGAUAACUUCGGGAAACCGGAGCUAAUACCGGAUAAUAUUUAGCUUCGCAUGAAGCAAUAGUGAAAGACGGUUCUGCUGUCACUUAUAGAUGGACCUGCGGUGUAUUAGCUAGUUGGUGAGGUAACGGCUCACCAAGGCAACGAUACAUAGCCGACCUGAGAGGGUGAUCGGCCAUACUGGGACUGAGACACGGCCCAGACUCCUACGGGAGGCAGCAGUAGGGAAUCUACCGCAAUGGACGAAAGUCUGACGGAGCAACGCCGCGUGAGUGAAGAAGGUUUUCGGAUCGUAAAACUCUGUUGUAAGGGAAGAACAAGUACGUUAGUAACUGAACGUACCUUGACGGUACCUUACCAGAAAGCCACGGCUAACUACGUGCCAGCCGCCGCCGUAACAC